AUUGAACGCUGGCGGCAGGCCUAACACAUGCAAGUCGAGCGGAUGAAGGGAGCUUGCUUCUGGAUUCAGCGGCGGACGGGUGAGUAAUGCCUGGGAACCUCCCUGGUAGUGGUGGAUAAGGGCCGAAAAUGGGGGCUAAUACCGCAUACGUCCUGAGGGAGAAAGGGUGGGAUCUUCGGACCUUCCGCUAUUAGAUGAGUCUAGGUCGGAUUAGCUAGUUGGUGGGGUAAAGGCCUACCAAGGCGACGAUCCGUAACUGGUCUGAGAGGAUGAUCAGUCACACUGGAACUGAGACACGGUCCAGACUCCUACGGGAGGCAGCAGUGGGGAAUAUUGGACAAAGGGCGAAAGCCUGAUCCAGCCAUGCCGCGUGUGUGAAGAAGGUCUUCGGAUUGUAAAGCACUUUUAGUUGGGAGGAAGAGCAGUAAGUUAAUACCUUGCUGUUUUGACGGUACCAACAGAAUAAGCACCGGCUAACUUCGUG
rnacentral:rRNA from 1 species